CCUACGGGUGGCAGCAGUGAGGAAUAUUGGUCAAUGGACGCGAGUCUGAACCCACGUAGCGUGAAGGAUGACUGCCCUAUGGGUUGUAUACUUCUUUUUUAAAGGAAUAAAACGAGGUACGUGUGCCUUUUUGCUAGUACUUUACUAACAAGGAUCCGCUAACUGCGUGCCAGCAGCCGCGGUAAUACGGAGGCUCCGAGCGUUAUCCGGAUUUAUUGGGUGUAAAGGGAGCGUAGAUGGGUUGUUAAGUCAGUUGUGAAAGUUCGCGGCUCAACCGUAAAUUUGCAAUUGAUACUGGGAGUCUUGAGUACAGGUGAGGUAAGCGGAAUUCGGGGUGUAGCGGUGAAAUGCGUAGAUAUAAGGAAGAACCCCAAUGGCGAAGGCAGCUUACUAAACUGUGACUGACAUUGAUGCUCGAAAGUGUGGGUAUCAAACAGGAUUAGAUACCCGGGUAGUC
rnacentral:rRNA from 1 species